AAAGGAAGCUACUUACCCCAGCAAAAUUACUCAUCAUUGCUGCUUGCCAUCCGAGUCCGGCAGUGUCUCAUCUCUCUCUCUCUUUCCCCCUCUGUCACGUCGUUUUUAUAGCGCUGUCUUCUCCACUCAGCAUUUGUCUUUGGGAGAGACACAUAGGCCGAUGUGGGAUUCCCCUCUGUCUGCUGUGAAUAUAUUACUACUGGCUAAUGAAGAAGCUGCUUUGGCCUAUGGCAGUGCAAAAUAUAGGUCUGGGUGGCUGAGAGAAUAUACAGCUGAGAGGAAGGAAGAUGGGCAUCCGCCCACCCAGACAGGGCUGCCACAAGCCCUGAGAUGAAAAUAUCUCAGGAGGAAGACACUUCACUCUCCAGGGUACUGUCAUGUGAAGAUUCAUAAUACAAAAUUUCACCAUUAUGUGGUCAGUUUCACCAUCCCUGCCAGAGGAUGCAAUGGCUUGCCAUAAUUGUACUAAUUUAGUAAUUACACAAUGUGUUCUUUGGCUGGUGUUCUUUUUGCCUUUAUGUGAAGAAAAGAAAGUUCCAAAUCCCUAAAUGUGUCCGAACACUGAACUGGAAACUUAAGAAAAACAAAACAACAAUGACAAAAAUCUCACAAAACUUUUAGGAGUUGGCUUUGAUGGUUUGACCAUUGCCAUGGCAACAGUGAAGGAUAUAGAUAAUGACAAGGUGAUGUCUUAUUUCUUCUCUACAAAAUCUA